AACGAACGCUGGCGGCAGGCCUAACACAUGCAAGUCGAGCGAGAACGGUUCUUCGGAACUUAUUAGAGCGGCGCACGGGUGAGUAACGCGUGGGAACGUACCCUGUAGUACGGAAUAGCCUCGGGAAACUGGGAUUAAUACCGUAUACGCCCUUAGGGGGAAAGAUUUAUCGCUAUAGGAUCGGCCCGCGUGACAUUAGCUUGUUGGUGAGGUAACGGCUCACCAAGGCUACGAUGUCUAGCUGGUCUGAGAGGAUGAUCAGCCACACUGGAACUGAGACACGGUCCAGACUCCUACGGGAGGCAGCAGUGAGGAAUAUUGCACAAUGGGGGAAACCCUGAUGCAGCCAUGCCGCGUGUGUGAUGAAGGCCCUAGGGUUGUAAAGCACUUUCAUUGGUGAAGAUAAUGACGGUAACCAAAAGAAAGAAG
rnacentral:rRNA from 1 species